GAGACCAUCUGUGUUAAUAUGGCUUAAUUAAGAAUACGGAUCAGCUGAGCCACCCAUCCCCCCCACACACACCUCCCCCGCCGCCCGCAGGCUUCUACGGUUGCCAUGACGGCGGCCUUGUUCUGGGCUGCACUUGGCUUUGCACCUGUGCUCGAGUUCUACGUCUUCACCAUGGCCACCACUGCGCAUCAACUUUCUCCUCAUCGCAGACUUCUUCUGGUUGGUGUCUCUGCUGCUUUCCUCCCUUGUUUGGUUUAUGACAGCAGUCAUUACUGACAUCAAAGAUGGACCAGUGCGGAAAUGUCUGCUGAUUUUUGGAGUGUUAGUCUGUCCUUAGGCAAGAAAUGUGCCGGUUUGCAUGUUAUAAACCUUUUUUUUUUUUAAGCCAGUGAGGGCUUGAAGAGGAUAAACCCAGGUGAGAGCACCCUCUACGGACUGCUGGCUUAUGUCUCUGGCGUGGGCUUUGAAAUCAUGAGUGGAGCAUUUUCCUCUGUAAAUACUCUGUCUGAUUCUCUGGGGCCAGGCACAGUAGGCAUUCUUUGAGACCCUCUCCAGUGCUUCGGAAAUUCAGCUUUCAUGACACUGGUGAGCACAUUGCUGCACGUGUUCUAGAGCGUCGUGUUUUUGGAAGUGCCUGUGAGAAGAAAAAGUGGUACACCCUUCUUGUCAUUCUCACCUAUCUGCUGGUGUCAGCCCCAAGCUUCAUGAAUACUCACUGUGGAUUAAAUCUGGUGUCAGUGUGCAUCAUGCUGGUACUCACGGGCGUCUGGCCAUUCUCCAUUUCUGCCAAAGCCUGAAAUGUUGCCUGCUCUGCCAAGACUAGGACUUGCUCCUCUUCAACCAGUGCUCCAGACAACCCCCAAGGACCAGCACUUUUGAAAUGUCUUCUUGCCUGGAGAAUCCCAGGGAUGGGGGAGCCUGGUAGGCUGCCGCCUAUGGGAUCGCACAGAGUCAGACACGACUGACGUGACUUAGCAGCAGCAGCAGCAGCAGCAGGACAGCCCUUUAUCAUUUGUGAUAAAGAGAACCAUUCCAAACAUCUGAUAUGGACAUCAUCGCAUCCUUUGAACCUGUCAACUGCAAAGGAUCCUAACUGGAAACAGGUGCCCAGAAUUGGAAGAAGGCAUGAAUAUUGAAAGUCCAGGGCCUUCACUUAGCAGAUGAGGACGAGGACAACACUCUGCAAGCAGUCUCCCUGUUGAGAGGCUUCCCUGGUGGCUCAGUGGUAAAACAUCUGCCCGCCGAUGCAGAAGACACGGGUUCAAUGCAGGAGACACUGGAUCAAGAAGAUAAUCUGGAGAAAGAAAAUGGCAGCCCACUCCAGUAUUCUUGCCUGGAAAAUCGCACAGAGGAGCCUGGGGUGUAAGCUCAGCUCUCUGUUAGGCUCCACUAACCUCAGGGAAGAGGGAAUGAGAGUGCAAAGUCACACACAUUGUUGCUGCAGUUUCUGAACAGAAGCUCCCCUCCCCACUGACCCCUGCUGUUGCCUGGCUGGGAGAUAAUGAAGUACUAAUACAUUCAAUCUCAUUGCCUGAUGGGAAUGGAGGCUCAACUUGCCACUGAACCUCCCUGAUACUGUGGACCUCCCCAGUACUACCCUGGCAGGAGAAGGGGAGCAAAGUCAACUUCCAGUGGAAAGAUCAGCUCCUCACUCAGCCCAGCUGACACUAACUAGGCAGGGGGUCAGAGCAUCAGCUGCUUCCACCGAGCGGAAGACAGAAGGUCAGCUCCUCGUUCAGUCUCACCGACUUCACUCCCACAGGCAAGAGAAUCAGAGUACCACUGUCUGCUUCCACGAGUGAGCACAGAGGAGAAAUGGAAAAAUCAGCUUGCUGUUUGACCCCAUUGAAACCACAGGAAGCCAGGCAGUAUUUCUGUAGAUGUUUGGCUGGAGUAGGGCAGUUUUUUUAAAAGAAGCACAGAGAGAUGCAGACAUCCAGGAAGAAGGCCAUGUGACAGAGGCAGAGGCUGAAGUUAUGCAGCUAAAAGCCAAGGAACACCAAGGACGGCUGGCAACCAUCAGGAGCUGGGAAGAGUUAAGGGGGAAUCCCCUCCUAGAGCCUUCAGAAAGGGCAUGGCCCUGCUUACACCUUAAUUUCAGACUUCUGAUCUCCAGGGCGGGGAUCUUCCUGACCCAGAGAUCGAAUCCUGGUUUCCUGCAUUGCAAAAAGGUCUUUAAC
ensembl:lncRNA